rnacentral:rRNA from 1 species
AUACGGAGGACGCGAGCGUUAUCCGGAUUCAUUGGGUUUAAAGGGUGCGCAGGCGGCCGUGCAAGUCAGCGGUGAAAGCCCGGGGCUCAACCCCGGAAGUGCCGUUGAUACUGCAUGGCUGGAAUGCGGUCGAGGCGGGCGGAACGUGGCGUGUAGCGGUGAAAUGCUGAGAUAUGCCACAGAACGCCGAUAGCGGAGGCGGCGCGCCAGGCCUGCAUUGACGCUCGGGCACGAAAGCGUGGGGAUCGAACAGGAUUAGAGCCCCUGGUAGUCCACGCCGUAAACGAUGGGCGCUCGUCGUCGGCGGCAGACAGUCGGCGGCCAAGCGAAAGCGAUAAGCGCCCCACCUGGGGAGUACGGUCGCAAGGCUGAAACUCAAAUGAAUUGACGGGG